rnacentral:rRNA from 1 species
UGGGGAAUAUUGCACAAUGGGCGCAAGCCUGAUGCAGCCAUGCCGCGUGUAUGAAGAAGGCCUUCGGGUUGUAAAGUACUUUCAGCGGGGAGGAAGGCGAUAAGGUUAAUAACCUUGUCGAUUGACGUUACCCGCAGAAGAAGCACCGGCUAACUCCGUGCCAGCAGCCGCGGUAAUACGGAGGGUGCAAGCGUUAAUCGGAAUUACUGGGCGUAAAGCGCACGCAGGCGGUCUGUCAAUUCGGAUGUGAAAUCCCCGUGCUCAACCUGGGAACUGCAUUCGAAACUGGCAGGCUAGAGUCUGGUAGAGGGGGGUAGAAUUCCAGGUGUAGCGGUGAAAUGCGUAGAGAGCUGGAGGAAUACCGUUGGCGAAGGCGGCCCCCUGGACAAAGACUGACGCUCAGGUGCGAAAGCGUGGGGAGCAAACA